UACGUAGGGGGCUAGCGUUGUCCGGAAUCAUUGGGCGUAAAGAGCGUGUAGGCGGUCCGGUAAGUCCGCUGUGAAAGUCGGGGGCUCAACCCUCGAAUGCCGAUGGAUACUGCCGGGCUAGAGUCCGGAAGAGGCGAGUGGAAUUCCUGGUGUAGUGGUGAAAUGCGUAGAGAUCGGCAGGAACACCCAGGGGGAAACCAGUCGACUGGGCAUCUACUGACGCUGAGGUGCGAGAGCGUGGGGAGCGAACCGG
rnacentral:rRNA from 1 species